rnacentral:sRNA from 1 species
CAGACCACAUCAACAGUUCAGAACCGAAACCAGCAGUCGAAGAAAACGCAAUCGAAACGAAGAAAACGAACAAAAGGCCGCAGGAGACGAGGAAGAAAAAGAACAACUCAAUUGUAAGGCGAAGAAGGCGACGAAAGAAGGAAAGGAGGCGAUGGAGAAGAAGGAAUCGAAAAUCGGAAAAGAAGCGAGAGAGAAUACAGAAACAAACACUGACAGCGUAACAGUUAUAUUGCCCACUAUAUAAGACUUGAAUAUUCUCCAAACGAUGUGAUUAAGUGACUAUAGGUGGCGCUGCACCAUAUCUGCACAAUACGUGAAUUCAAUUUCGCGAUUGAUAGAGGGCGUAUUGUUAAUGAUGAACAGACUUAGAGUUUGUCACCAAAAUGCAUCGUUCCCCGAAAACACUGCCCCCUAGAGUCGUAAUAUUAAGCGACAAAUACUCUCCAAACGUGAAUAUAUAUACGUUGUUUUUUUUAGUUUGUUUUUGCUAAUUUCAAAAUUACAUGAACUCUGUCAUUUUCUGACGUAUUUCCCAUUAUGAAGGCUGAUGAGACAUGGAUGUUUAGGCUUAAUUUAAAGGGUUGGACUUAUAUAUUUCCCUCUGCUAACACAGCUGAGGGUCAGUUGUGAUUAUUGACCUUAAUGGCGAUCGUACUUUACUGGUUAACGUUAAAAUUGCAAAAGCAAAAAAAAAAAAAAAAAAAAAAAACAUCCAGUUAUUGAUUCAAUAACACUCGCCUCGGUCUCAUAAAUCAAAAAAUCGUUUUCACGUUGAUGAUGUUAACAUUGACAGCAUUUUACUUGUAAUAAAGAAGUGAUACUUGCUGAAAAA